rnacentral:rRNA from 1 species
UGCGUAGGCGGACUAAUAAGUCAGUGGUGAAAUCUCUCGGCUCAACCGGGAAACUGCCAUUGAUACUGUUAGUCUUGAGUUCGGUUGAGGUAGGCGGAAUGUGUAAUGUAGCGGUGAAAUGCUUAGAUAUUACACAGAACACCAAUUGCGUAGGCAGCUUACUAGACCGACACUGACGCUGAGGCACGAAAGCGUGGGUAGCGAACAGGACUAGAUACCCUGGUAGUCC